rnacentral:rRNA from 1 species
UACGAAGGGGGCUAGCGUUGCUCGGAAUCACUGGGCGUAAAGCGCACGUAGGCGGCUUUUUAAGUCAGGGGUGAAAUCCUGGAGCUCAACUCCAGAACUGCCUUUGAUACUGAGAAGCUUGAGUCCGGGAGAGGUGAGUGGAACUGCGAGUGUAGAGGUGAAAUUCGUAGAUAUUCGCAAGAACACCAGUGGCGAAGGCGGUGAGCUGGGCAGUUGCUGACACUGAGGCGCGACAGCGUGGGGAGCAAACAGG